rnacentral:rRNA from 1 species
CCUACGGGUGGCAGCAGUGGGGAAUAUUGGACAAUGGGGGCAACCCUGAUCCAGCCAUGCCGCGUGUGUGAAGAAGGCCCUCGGGUUGUAAAGCACUUUCAGUGAGGAAGAACGCCUGGUGGUUAAUACCCAUCAGGAAAGACAUCACUCACAGAAGAAGCACCGGCUAACUCCGUGCCAGCAGCCGCGGUAAUACGGAGGGUGCGAGCGUUAAUCGGAAUUACUGGGCGUAAAGCGCGCGUAGGUGGCUUGAUAAGCCGGUUGUGAAAGCCCCGGGCUCAACCUGGGAACGGCAUCCGGAACUGUCAAGCUUGAGUGCAGGAGAGGAAGGUAGAAUUCCCGGUGUAGCGGUGAAAUGCGUAGAGAUCGGGAGGAAUACCAGUGGCGAAGGCGGCCUUCUGGACUGACACUGACACUGAGGUGCGAAAGCGUGGGUAGCAAACAGGAUUAGAUACCCCAGUAGUC